rnacentral:rRNA from 1 species
UACGUAGGGCGCAAGCGUUAUCCGGAAUUAUUGGGCGUAAAGAGCUCGUAGGCGGUUUGUCGCGUCUGCCGUGAAAGUCCGGGGCUCAACUCCGGAUCUGCGGUGGGUACGGGCAGACUAGAGUGAUGUAGGGGAGACUGGAAUUCCUGGUGUAGCGGUGAAAUGCGCAGAUAUCAGGAGGAACACCGAUGGCGAAGGCAGGUCUCUGGGCCACUACUGACGCUGAGAAGCGAAAAGCAUGGGGGAGCGAACAGG